rnacentral:rRNA from 1 species
UACGUAGGUGGCAAGCGUUAUCCGGAAUUAUUGGGCGUAAAGCGCGCGCAGGUGGUUUCUUAAGUCUGAUGUGAAAGCCCACGGCUCAACCGUGGAGGGUCAUUGGAAACUGGGAGACUUGAGUGCAGAAGAGGAAAGAGGAAUUCCAUGUGUAGCGGUGAAAUGCGUAGAGAUAUGGAGGAACACCAGUGGCGAAGGCGACUUUCUGGUCUGUAACUGACACUGAGGCGCGAAAGCGUGGGGAGCAAACAGG